rnacentral:tRNA from 1 species
GGGCCGGUGGUCUAGCCCGGUUAUGAUUGGGUCAGACUUCUUGCGGCGAAGGUUCCCCGGUUCAAAUCCGGGCCGGCCCACCA